GACGAACGCUGGCGGCGUGCUUAACACAUGCAAGUCGAACGAUGAAGCGGCCAGCUUGCUGGUGGUGGAUUAGUGGCGAACGGGUGAGUAACACGUGAGUAACCUGUCCUUCACUCUGGGAUAAGCCCUGGAAACGGGGUCUAAUACUAGAUAUUCUCAAUGUGCCGCAUGGUGUGUUGUGGAAAGAUUUUUUGGUGAGGGUUGGACUCGCGGCCUAUCAGCUUGUUGGUGGGGUAGUGGCCUACCAAGGCUUUGACGGGUAGCCGGCCUGAGAGGGUGACCGGCCACACUGGGACUGAGACACGGCCCAGACUCCUACGGGAGGCAGCAGCAAGGAAUCUUCCCCAAUGGGGGCAACCCUGAGGGAGCAACGCCGCGUGGAGGAUGACGGCUUUCGGGUUGUAAACUCCUUUUCGGGGGGACGAAACGGACGGUACCCCCGGAAUAAGCCCCGGCUAACUCUGUGCCAGCAGCCGCAGUAAAAC
rnacentral:rRNA from 1 species